rnacentral:lncRNA from 1 species
AUGGGCAAGCAGAUGCCGAACUGUAGCCGUGGACUUCUGCUUCUGUUGUUGGCCCUUCUAGGCUGUUUUAGCAUUCCUGGCCACGUGUAUGGUAAUAAUCUGGAUUACACCAGGAGUGCCACCAUGAAUGAAGGACGCAACAAUGUCAAUAUAAAUGGUUUGGUACCUGUACCAUGCAACAUUUUCUCCCCAUCGAAGGUCUGUUGUAGAAAUGUAUGCUACCCUAGCUUGCAAGCCUGUGAGGCAAAUUGCAAGCCAAUUGUUUGAUCAGCUUAUC